rnacentral:ncRNA from 1 species
AAGUCCGAGUGCAAGCGAAGUAAGUUCAAAGUCGAAGUUCUUCGCUUGCACUUUCGCAAUUUCCCGGUUUCCGCGCGUGGUUCGCUGCGUUGGCGUUUCGCGCGAUCAACAAUCUUAAAGUUAUUCUUCUAAUUAUUAUAUUAAAAUACAUUUAUAGCCUUUCGGGGGGAGAAUGUUAUUUCCGGGACCCCUCAAUUUGAUAGAUGUAUUUGAUAGAUAUUUUACCAAAAAAAGAAGAGAGAGAAAUAAGAGAGAAGAAAACCCGAAAUGUUCGGGGUAACUCAAAAUGACCUGGAGACGUUGUUGAGAAAUCCGGGAAGAGUUUUCUUUUCUGUAUAAGCGUUCGAGUUCCUUGGAAACCUUUAGCAGGGAGAUAAGGUUUGGAACGCGAAGAGCAAUGCAGUUGCGGCAGUGUCUGGAUCUUCUCCUCGGACCUUGAAAAUCCAGGAGAGGGCCACGUGGAGGUGUGCCGAAUCGUACCCAUAUCAGCAGCAGGUUUCCAAGGUAAGGAGCCUCUCUAGUCGAUAGAAUAAUGUAGGUAAGAGAAAUCGGCAAAUUGGAUCCGUAACUUCGAAAUAAGGGGUGUUUACGACAACUAAUCGGAUCUCUGAUCGGACUGAGCAGUGGCACUCAAGACCGUUAGACUUUCUAAAUUUCCCUAGAUUAAUCCGGAUCAAUGAUCGUGUCUGUGGAGUGAUCGGAUUAGAUUAGCAGUAAUCAAAAGAAAUCGAGGUGUUUCGUAGAAUCCACGUAAAAAACAUAUAAAACAAUAUAAAAGGUACUUUAUUAUUCCUCUAAUUAAUUAAUUAAUAUUUCAAUGUUUAUCAAAUAUAUGUUGAUAAAUAAAUGU